rnacentral:rRNA from 1 species
GAUGAACGCUGGCGGCGUGCCUAAUACAUGCAAGUCGAGCGAACGGACGAGAAGCUUGCUUUUCUGAUGUUAGCGGCGGACGGGUGAGUAACACGUGGAUAACCUACCUAUAAGACUGGGAUAACUUCGGGAAACCGGAGCUAAUACCGGAUAAUAUUUUGAACCGCAUGGUUCAAAAGUGAAAGACGGUCUUGCUGUCACUUAUAGAUGGAUCCGCGCUGCAUUAGCUAGUUGGUAAGGUAACGGCUUACCAAGGCAACGAUGCAUAGCCGACCUGAGAGGGGGGUUGGCCCCACUGGAACUUAGGCACGGUCCAGACUCCUACGGGAGGCCGCAGUAGGGAAUCUUCCGCAAUGGGCGAAAGCCUGGCGGAGCAACGCCGCGUGAGUGAUGAAGGUCUUCGGAUCGUAAAACUCUGUUAUUAGGGAAGAACAUAUGUGUAAGUAACUGUGCACAUCUUGACGGUACCUAAUCGGAAAGCCACGGCUAACUACGUG